AAUCAACGCUGGCGGCGUGCCUCAGACAUGCAAGUCGAACGCGAAAGUCCCCUUCGGGGGGCAAGUAGAGUGGCGCACGGGUGAGUAACACGUAGGUAAUCUACCUUUGGAUGGGGAAUAACAACCGGAAACGGUUGCUAAUACCGCAUAAUGCAGCGGCACCUAAUGGUGACAGUUGUUAAAGCGGGGAUCGAAAGACCUCGCGUCUGAAGAGGAGCCUGCGGCGGAUUAGCUAGNGGUAAGGUAACGGCUUACCAAGGCAACGAUCCGUAGCCGGCCUGAGAGGGCGGUCGGCCACACUGACACUGACAUACGGGUCAGACUCCUACGGGAGCAGCAGUCGGAAUUUU
rnacentral:rRNA from 1 species